rnacentral:rRNA from 1 species
AGUGAACGCUGGCGGUAGGCCUAACACAUGCAAGCCGAACGGCAGCACAGUAAGAGCUUGCUCUUACGGGUGGCGAGUGGCGGACGGGUGAGGAAUACAUCGGAAUCUACUUUUUCGUGGGGGAUAACGUAGGGAAACUUACGCUAAUACCGCAUACGACCUACGGGUGAAAGCAGGGGAUCUUCGGACCUUGCGCGAUUGAAUGAGCCGAUGUCGGAUUAGCUAGUUGGCGGGGUAAAGGCCCACCAAGGCGACGAUCCGUAGCUGGUCUGAGAGGAUGAUCAGCCACACUGGAACUGAGACACGGUCCAGACUCCUACGGGAGGCAGCAGUGGGGAAUAUUGGACAAUGGGCGUAAGCCUGAUCCAGCCAUACCGCGUGGGUGAAGAAGGCCUUCGGGUUGUAAAGCCCUUUUGUUGGGAAAGAAAAGCAGCAGGUUAAUACCCCGCUGUUCUGACGGUACCCAAAGAAUAAGCACCGGCUAACUUCGUG